CAAUUGUUCCAUUAUGAUCUAGUCAGGUCAUUACAGGACUUUAAUGCGCCACAGAAACCAAGUGAAACAACGUUGACAGUUGGUUGCACUGUUGAAAGGUCACUACAUACCGAUGACAAAUUGUAUUGCUGAAAGAUGUCUGUAUUUCUCCCGUCUACUCCAACUGGACGACAGUACGAUGUCACUCUGCGACUGGCCUCUCUGGACCAUGUUGAAGACAGAAUCCUCAGAGAUUCCAAACACAGAACUCAGUGGUACCGAGUGGGGUCUGUGUCUCAUCUCUCUCACCACCCUCAGGUGAGGAGACAUAUCGUUCUUCGUCAUCACUCAGCAAAGAGGUCAUGGACCUACAGAAUGCACAACAGAAAUGAAAUAGUACAUGGUAACAAAAUAAAAAACAUGAUCCAAGAAUUUGGGACACAAACUCAA